rnacentral:rRNA from 1 species
GGUGAACGCUAGUAGUAUGCUUAACACAUGCAAGUCGAACGGUAAGGCCCUUCGGGGUACACGAGUGGCGAACGGGUGAGUAACACGUGGGUGAUCUGCCCUGCACUUCGGGAUAAGCCUGGGAAACUGGGUCUAAUACCGGAUAGGACCACUGCCUGCAUGGGAGGUGGUGGAAAGCUUUUGCGGUGUGGGAUGGGCCCGCGGCCUAUCAGCUUGUUGGUGGGGUGAUGGCCUACCAAGGCGACGACGGGUAGCCGGCCUGAGAGGGUGACCGGCCACACUGGGACUGAGAUACGGCCCAGACUCCUACGGGAGGCAGCAGUGGGGAAUAUUGCACAAUGGGCGCAAGCCUGAUGCAGCGACGCCGCGUGAGGGAUGACGGCCUUCGGGUUGUAAACCUCUUUCAGCACCGACGAAGCGCAAGUGACGGUAGGUGCAGAAGAAGGACCGGCCAACUACGUGCCAGCCGCCGCGGUAACAC